AAAGAUCAUAGUUUUAUAAUGUUCAUGUCCAACUUUUUAAUCAUCCAUCUUAUUUAAAAAUUUUCAUCAUUAAUAUUUUUAUUGUUAUUAGAUGAUAAAACAUAAAUAGUACUUUAUUUGUGACUAUUUUUUUUUAUUUUUUCAUAAAUUUUCAAAUUAGACGAAUGAUCAAACAUUGGACAUCGAAACCCACAACUGCAUUUAAA
rfam:Oryza barthii chromosome 2, whole genome shotgun sequence.